UAAUUCGAACUCAAAAUAUCCACUUUACUACUUGUUACGAUCCGUCCACUUGCGAGAUAAAAUCGACAACGAUGGGCCUAUCUAGUACAAUUUUAAAAACAUUGGUAAAUACUUCUACACAUAGCGUAAGAUACAAAAAUAACAACAAUAAACAUCGUGAUAUCCAUUAUCCAUUAGAGGAGGAUUACAUGAGUUGGAGAAACGUAUUUCAACAUUCAACAAAAAGAAUGUAAAAACAACCUAAAAAUCCUAUAUGGUAAGUGGCUAAUUCUAUGAAGGAGCUGGAACAAUUCCAACAACAGCAUUAAUCUCGACAAGUGAGGCUCUUUGUUCGUCCAAAGCUUUAUACAAGAAGCCAACACCAAACUUUAGCCUCUUAGGCUCAAUAUGUCUCAUCACUUUAGCCAGGCCCACCACGUAGGCACCUGGGCUAAUGGAUCAUAAGCAGGUGAACUCUUCCAAUCUACUUCAGCCUCAAUUCAUUAGCAUAAUCCCACUCCUUAUCAGCCCUUUUAGACUCUUUUUAUUUAUUAGUGCAAGCUCACUCUUCUUCUAACCUCUUCUUCUCAUCUUCGACACGAGCUUGCUCUUUAGCAGCUUUUUUCUCAUUUUCAGCACGUGCCGAAACCUUCUCUCAGGUCUUCAUCACUUGAAGCUUGUGUUUGAACUCUUCUUCAACCUUAGCUUUGGGCUCUAUCUCUGUUUCUGCUUUGAUUAGACACUCUUCCGUUGCUCUAUUUUCUUCAGCAUGAAAUGCCUUUCUUUUUCGAAGACAAAAUGAAGAUUCAAAGCUUCGUCUCUCAGACCAACCACCUUAUCGAACUCAGUUUUCACCUGACAGAAAAUACAAAAGGCCUUUAUAUACCUCAUAAUGAAAAUCCAUACCUUGUUGAAAACCGCAAUCAUAUACAAAAUGAACUUAUGACCAAGGAAUUCAGUAAUGAUGCAAGUUUUAAUUGUUGACAUUUGUUCGAAGUUACCUUGCUCUCUGACACGACCCAUCCCGAUCACCUAAUGGAUCCGACAUGUAUCGUGCGUCGAUGGUAGAUACCAGCGAAGUGUUGAACCCACCACCAAAGCAAACUUGACAUGCUUUGACUGUUAUAAUUUUAUAAAAAUUUCGGAAGAGUUCCCUCUGAAAAAUGUUCUAAAACCACAUGAAAAUAAAAUCAAAUAUCCCAAAUAUGUACAUAUAGUUUGAAAUAGGGUACACCGGCCCCUCAAAAUAUCAACUAUUCAAAUACAACACUAGCAAUUCGACUUUUGCAACAAUUUCUAAACCACAGUACCAAAAAUGCAUAAUAUAUAUACAAAACAUAGCAAGCCCAACACAUGGAAUUAAUUUAUAACCAAAAGAGGUGUCUAUCCCAAAAUAUGAACUAUUAAAUUGAAAAAAUAAUUCAUACAAUGCUUGACAAUCUAUGGCUCAACUUGAUAGAUCAACUGGCCCAGUAGUGCUCAACUCAGCUACUAUCUGAUAAGAGAAAUAGUGAUAAAAAUGUGAGCCUAUUACCCAGUGAGUGGAUAUUUGUAAAAAUAUAAUUUUCCAUUCAUAAAUUUUUUCUAAAAACCGACAUAUAGCAUAAAAUUUCUUUUCACAGACAUAUAAACUAAAAUAUAUAUUCUUUAAACUGAAUAAGCUGAAUUCUGUAGCUUAAAAUCUGAUGAUACUAUCAAAACUAAAAUAUACUGUAAUCAUAAACAUCUUUAUUCUGUAUACUGCAUUUCUAAAAUCUGAUAAGCUAUGUAAUACUGAAACAUCACACCAAAAAUGUACCCGGAAUAACCAUACUCGUGAAUCGAUUAAUCUCGAUAUACAUAGCAAGGUUAUUCAAUUCUGAAAUUCUGUAAUUCUGGUCGUACGCGCGCAGAGCUAUAAAAUGGUCAUACACUAUGGAAACACAUUCACAAUAGUGCAGAGUGGGUAAAAUCACUAAACUGAUCAUACGCUGUGGAAAUACAUUCACACCAGCGUAGAGUG
rnacentral:lncRNA from 1 species